GACGAACGCUGGCGGCGUGCCUAAUACAUGCAAGUCGAACGAAGCUUUUUUAACUGGUGCUUGCACCGACUUAAACAACUGAGUGGCGAACGGGUGAGUAACACGUGGGUAACCUGCCCCAAAGCGGGGGAUAACAUUUGGAAACAGAUGCUAAUACCGCAUAACCACAGAAACCACAUGGUUUCUGUGUCAAAGAUGGUUUCGGCUAUCACUUUGGGAUGGACCCGCGGCGUAUUAGCUAGUUGGUAAGGUAAUGGCUUACCAAGGCAAUGAUACGUAGCCGAACUGAGAGGUUGAUCGGCCACAUUGGGACUGAGACACGGCCCAAACUCCUACGGGAGGCAGCAGUAGGGAAUCUUCCACAAUGGACGAAAGUCUGAUGGAGCAACGCCGCGUGAGUGAAGACGGAUUUCGGUCUGUAAACCUCUGUCGUAAGGGAAGGACAAACUGGAUAGGAAAUGAUCCAGUUCUGACGGUACCUUACCAGAAAGUCACGGCUAACUAUGUGCCAGCAGCCGCCGUAA
rnacentral:rRNA from 1 species